GCAGCACGGGUGCUUGCACCUGGUGGCGAGUGGCGAACGGGUGAGUAAUACAUCGGAACAUGUCCUGUAGUGGGGGAUAGCCCGGCGAAAGCCGGAUUAAUACCGCAUACGAUCCAUGGAUGAAAGCGGGGGACCUUCGGGCCUCGCGCUAUAGGGUUGGCCGAUGGCUGAUUAGCUAGUUGGUGGGGUAAAGGCCUACCAAGGCGACGAUCAGUAGCUGGUCUGAGAGGACGACCAGCCACACUGGGACUGAGACACGGCCCAGACUCCUACGGGAGGCAGCAGUGGGGAAUUUUGGACAAUGGGCGAAAGCCUGAUCCAGCAAUGCCGCGUGUGUGAAGAAGGCCUUCGGGUUGUAAAGCACUUUUGUCCGGAAAGAAAUCCUUGGCCCUAAUACGGUCGGGGGAUGACGGUACCGGAAGAAUAAGCACCGGCUAACUACGUGCCAGCAGCCGCGGUAAUACGUAGGGUGCGAGCGUUAAUCGGAAUUACUGGGCGUAAAGCGUGCGCAGGCGGUUUGCUAAGACCGAUGUGAAAUCCCCGGGCUCAACCUGGGAACUGCAUUGGUGACUGGCAGGCUAGAGUAUGGCAGAGGGGGGUAGAAUUCCACGUGUAGCAGUGAAAUGCGUAGAGAUGUG
rnacentral:rRNA from 1 species